rnacentral:lncRNA from 1 species
CCAAUGAAAGCCUAGAGGCGGGACGUACACGUGCGUGCGCAUCGCGCGGGGGCGGGACUUCCGGCGCUCCGUGCAGCCUUUCCGUUACUCUCCGGCAGUUAUCCCGUUCUACACGCCGAUGUCCCCUAGGUGGGCACCGAGGUAACGGAGCGGAAAAGCAGGAGGAGAGGCGUGGUGCCCGCUGUCUAGAAGCGGAUGCGAGGCCCCCUGAGCCCGCAGUUGACGGCGGUGCCCUCGUUCCCGCCCUGCUCGCCGCCUCUCCCGGCGCCGCUCUUCCCACGGCCGGUGGCCGAGGCCGCGCCGAUGAACCCGGCUCAGGACUUGCAUCUUCUAGGUCCCAUGUUGUCCAGCUAGAGCUGAGAGGGAGUGGACAUGGCUCCAGGCACAGCACGAGAGCCUCAGAGUGGGCCUGGCCCUGGUGAUUCACAUCUGGGGGAGGAUGUGAUGUCACAGCUGGGUUCACAUCAUACCAGGAACAUGUCCUGUGCCCAGCACUGUUUGGGUGUGUUGCACCCCAACCUUGAGUCUUUUGCCUGGCUGCUGACAUGGAGCUGAGGACCAAUAGACACCUUCUGGGCAGAAUAUUUCUGUAGAAGUGCCCCAGAUACAUCCUUCAACGGCAGACUUGUCCACCCAGACGACCUGUCCCUGGGAGAGGUGUAGGCUGGAAGAGCUGCACAGUCCCUGCUUCCACAUUGUCGUCACAUUGCGGGAAGCUGGGGAGGAUUUCCCUGGUAGCUCUGGCUUCCCCCUCCCAGCAGCCCUGGGAUCUAUUUGCUUUCCUUUAACAAAGACUUCGCCUGCUUGCUGCCUGUGUGUUCCUGGAGUUCAUUUCUUUGACUGCCCUGAUCAGGAACCCGGAUUCCCAUAUCAUCUUUCUGGUGGUAUCUUUUGGGGACUAGUCUGGGAUCCAAUCCAAUACAUCUGCACUCAUAAGAACGUCUGAGUCCCUGCCAGAUCUCCAGCAACAGAUUCAUGGGAUGUCUGAUCCAGCUCGCCCUCUGGAACUAGUUGACCUCUUCCUCCUGGUGGAAAUAUUUCAUCACCAUAGCCAUCAUCAUGAUCUUUAAUCCUUUUAUUUGGACCCUAUAUAAUUAAUUGUAUUUCUCACUUCAUUACAUCCCAGUUAAAAACUAUGGACCUGGAGUUCCCGUCGUGGCUCAGGGGUUAACGAAUCCGACUAGGAACCAUGAGGUUGCAGGUUCAACCCCUGGCCUUGCCCAGUGGGUUAAGGAUCUGCCAUUGCUGUGAGCUGUGGUGUAGGCCACAGACAUGGCUCAGAUCCCACGUUGCUGUGGCUCUGGUAUAGGCUGGUGGCUAUAGCUCUGAUUUGACGCCCUAGCCUGGGAACCUCCAUAUGCCGUGGGAGCAGCCCUAGAAAAGGAAAAAAGACCCCCCCCCCAAAAAAAAAAAAAAAAAAA